AUUCUAUGAGUUUGAACAAAUGCAUACUGAUGUAUAUUCAUCAUAACAGAGUAAGCUUUUCAUCAUAGAAGUUGGAGCAGAGAUAUCAUAAAAAGUAGGCAGAUAAAGCCUGAGUGUUUACCUUCCCUUUUUCUAGACCAGACCAGAUGACAGUAAUCUAGAUGGAAGAGGAAGAAAGUGGACUGAAGUAUCAGAGGCAUCAGAAGAAGAUUAAACAAAGAUGUCAACUUAAAUAAUGAUUCUCUGACUGGCUAGAGCUAAACGGACCAGAGAAAUAGGACAUGCUGUUUACUUCCCAAGGAACCCCUCUGCUCACAAUAUGGCAUCUCUUACAGGUGUUGACAUAACCCCUUUCCCUUCAUGCUUGUACAAUGUGUCUUCAGACUUUGCCCUUGGAAUUUUACAGACAGAGCUGACAAUCUGGAG
rnacentral:lncRNA from 1 species